UUACCAUGCAAGUCGAGCGGUUGACGGGAGCUUGCUCCCUGAUUCAGCGGCGGACGGGUGAGUAAUGCCUAGGAAUCUGCCUAUUAGUGGGGGACAACGUUUCGAAAGGAACGCUAAUACCGCAUACGUCCUACGGGAGAAAGCAGGGGACCUUCGGGCCUUGCGCUAAUAGAUGAGCCUAGGUCGGAUUAGCUAGUUGGUGAGGUAAUGGCUCACCAAGGCGACGAUCCGUAACUGGUCUGAGAGGAUGAUCAGUCACACUGGAACUGAGACACGGUCCAGACUCCUACGGGAGGCAGCAGUGGGGAAUAUUGGACAAUGGGCGAAAGCCUGAUCCAGCCAUGCCGCGUGUGUGAAGAAGGUCUUCGGAUUGUAAAGCACUUUAAGUUGGGAGGAAGGGUUGUAGAUUAAUACUCUGCAAUUUUGACGUUACCGACAGAAUAAGCACCGGCUAACUCUGUGCCAGCAGCCGCGGUAAU
rnacentral:rRNA from 1 species